CUAGCUUCACGAUGGAUCGGUUGCAUCGAGUAUCGAUGAAGACCGCAGCUUGCUGCGUUACAUACCCGAAUGCAGACCCUUAAAGUGGUGAAA
rnacentral:rRNA from 1 species